rnacentral:SRP_RNA from 1 species
CCUUGGUGGCAUAUGCCUGUGGUCCCACCUACUCAGGGGAGGGUGAGGCAGGAGGAUCACUUGAGCCCAGGAGUUCUGGGUUGUGAUGUGCUAUGCUGAUAGGGUAUCUGCACUAAAUUUAGCAUCAGUGCGGUGACCUCCUGGGAGUAAGGGACCACCAGGUUGAAAGGCAGCAGAUCAAAACUGUGGUGCUGCUCAGUAGUAGGACUGUGCCUGUGAACAGUCACUGCAUUCCAGCCUGGGCAACACAGAGAAACCUCAUCUCU